GUCAGUUGAAGCAGUUAGAAGCCAGAAAGCAGCCAUUCUUCUGUUCUUGUCUUGAAAGCUGUUCAGAUGGAUUGACUGACUUUCUGGACAUCUUUGGUUUUCUACUCCCAUAGCACAAUGUGCCACUGGUUGCGCAGAAGGUAAAGUCAUGGGAAAGAGGUGUUAAUGCAGAAUUGGUCUCCACAGUCACUUACGGACUCACUGUUAAAACUGUGUUCAUGGUAGAUAAUCAUACUUGGCUAUAAGUGAUCGCCAAAGAAGAAGGCUGAUCGCCAAAGAAUUGAUGCUUUUGAAUUCUGGUGCUGGAGGAGACUCUUGAGAGUCCCAUGGACUGCAAGAAGAUCAAACCUAUCCAUUCUGAAGGAAAUCAGCCCUGAGUGCUCACUGGAAGGACAGAUCCUGAAGCUAAGGCUCCAAUACUUUGGCCCCCUCAUGAGAAGAGAAGACUCCCUGGAAAAGACCCUGAUGUUGGGAAAGAUGGAGGGCACAAGGAGAAGGGGACGACAGAGGAAAAGAUGGUUGGACAGUGUUCUCGAAGCUACCAGCAUGCGUUUUGACCAAACUGUGGGAGGUAGUGGAAGACAGGAGUGCCUGGUGUGCUCUGGUCCAUGGGGUCACGAAGAGUCGGACACGACUAAACGACUAAACAACAACAAAGAAGAAGGAGGCCAGGAACAGUGUUGUCAUGGCUCCUAUGGGAGAAGUUUCCAUUGUUAUAUCAAAGACUCUUUUGUGCCGACAGGCCUAUUCAAUUGUUUAAUUCUCCCCUUUUUGAUGAAAUAAUCAUUCUUGUGAUUAUUUUGUAUUUCUUAACAAUAUUUUAUAUUUUAUUGUGUUUGCAUAUUUUGCUGUGUAUCACCUUGAUAUUUUAUGUGAGUACAUAGACUUUUAUAAAUGAAUGAAUGAAUAUUAGCUGACUUUUCCGAUCCUAGAAUCGUGCUUUUUACUUUGCUGUUGGGAAGCACAGACCCUCCAAGUGUCCCUAUUUUCCUUUUUUUAAAAAAAAUUAAUAUUUAUUAAAGUUUCACAGAAAAGAAAUCACAUUAAUAAAAAAGGAAAAUUUAAAAAGAAAAAGAAAAAUACACCGUACAAAAUACAAAAAGGAAAAAGAAAAAACAAUUAAAAACAAUUCCGUCUUUUCAUAACUUCUUUUACAUUUACUUGUUUCCCGGACCUCCUCAUACCUCCCUCUUUUGUAUUCCAAUUCAGUUUGUUAGUCCAGCAAUUCCUUUCCCUCCUUUUUAAUCCCAAUCCUUAAUCUUAAUAUAAUAUAACAUUAAUUUUUUACCUAUUGAAAACCAAUUUUUCCAUUCUUUUAACCUUUUUAAUCCUAAUCCUUAAUCUUAAUAUAUUUAUAACCUUAAAGCCUGUACAGCUAGAAGCCACUUAAUUUCAAUCCAACAUCACUCUGACAUUCAUUAAUUUUGCAAUAUUUCUGUAAAUAAUCUUUGAAUUUCUUCCAAUCUUCUUCCACCGACUCUUCUCCCUGGUCACGGAUUCUGCCAGUCAUUUCCGCCAAUUCCAUGUAGUCCAUCAUUUUCAUCUGCCAUUCCUCCAGUGUGGGUAGCUCUUGUGUCUUCCAAUACUUUGCGAUGAGUAUUCUUGCUGCUGUUGUAGCAUACAUAAAUAAAGUUCUAUCCUUUUUUGACACCGAUUGGCCGACUAUGCCCAGGAGAAAGGCCUCUGGUUUCUUCAAGAAGGUAUAUUUAAAUACCUUUUUUAAUUCAUUAUAUAUCAUCUCCCAGAAAGCCUUAAUCUUUGGGCACGUCCACCAAAGGUGAAAAAAUGUACCUUCAGUUUCUUUACAUUUCCAACAUUUAUUAUCAGGCAAAUGGUAAAUUUUUGCAAGCUUGACUGGGGUUAUGUACCACCUGUAUAUCAUUUUCAUAAUAUUCUCUCUUAGGGCAUUACAUGCUGUAAACUUCAUACCUGUGGUCCAUAACUGUUCCCAGUCAGCAAACAUAAUGUUAUGUCCAACAUCUUGUGCCCAUUUAAUCAUAGCAGAUUUCACCGUUUCAUCCUGAGUAUUCCAUUUCAGCAGCAAGUUAUACAUUCUUGACAAAUUCUUAGUUUUGGGUUCUAGCAGUUCUGUUUCUAAUUUUGAUUUUUCCACCUGGAAAAAUCAAGUGUCCCUAUUUUCCAGGGACAUCCCUGGUUUAGAGAAGCCGUCCCAGUUUCUGAUUUGAUCCCGGAAUGACCCAUUUUUCCUUAGGAUGUCCCUUAUUUUCAUUGGAGAAAUGUUGGAGGGUAUGGAGUUAUCUGACCCCUGAGCCAUCUGAAGGCAAUCCUGUAUAGGGAAGGUUUUUUUUAAUGUUUAAUGUUUUUUAUAUAUGUUGGAAGAAGCCCAGAGUGGCUGGGGCAACCCAGUAAGAUGUGUGGGAUAUAAAGAGUAAAAUUAUCAUUAUGGAAUGGGACGUCCCUAUUUUCAUCGGAGAAAUGUUGGAGGGUAUGGGAACAUAGGAAUCUGACUACAUUAUUUGCUGGUAUAAGCUGCAGCCAUUAUAGCUGGAACAUAUGACUGCAACCUCUCUGUUCACUCUAAAAUAGCUAAUCUACCAUAAAAACAGUUGCUCAAUUUGCUUUUUAUAUAAUGGAAGCCGAGCACUGGUAUUUUGUUUAGUAACAUUUUCCUCUGCCUAGAGCUAAUUGCUUUAAUUUUAGCCACAAUACAGUCUGGUGGAUUAUUAUAUAAUUGUGAGUGGGAGUUGUUGCUCAUUAACUAGGGCAAAUGAGUGAAGACUGGGCUGAGGCUGACCCAUGGGAAUUAGUGAUCCACUCAGUUGAGCCCGAGGUGAAUUCCAGCCAUCCAGCUAAUUGAAAGAACUAUGGAGUUGCAGGUUAGAAAGUGUUUCAGAGGAGCCACUCUUACCAAAAUACAUGUCUGCCAAAGCAAAACUUUCAUUGGGAAUGCACAAUGCAUGAAGAAAACCCAAUUACGGAACAAAGUAACAGAAAGUUUGCUCCCUGAGUAAGACAAAUUCUGCAGCCUGAAUAAAUUGUGCAAAUAUGUGUGUGAGAGCUUGUUCUGCAUUAAUAAUAAUAAUAAUAAAUUUUAUUUAUUCCUCAGCUCAGGGCGGCUAACACCAGUAAAAUUACAGUAAAAUCAUAAUGGGAAAAAAACCCAAUUUAAAAUACAUGUUAUAAUGCAAUUUAAAAUGCAGCUUCAUUUUAAAAGUAGCCCAUAGAUCAAAACCAUAAGGGGUGGGAAAACAUAAAGGUCAGACUGAGUCCAAACCAAAGGCCAGGCAGAACAGCCUUGUCUUGCAGGCCCUGCGGAAAGAUGUCAAGUCCCGCAGGGCCCUAGUCUGUUGUGACAGAGCGUUCCACCAAGUCGGGGCCAGUGCUGAAAAGGCCCUGGCCCUAGUUGCGACCAAUCUGAUUUUGCUGCUACUAGCCACUGAGGGAGGGAUGAAGCUAUGCAGAUUACAAGUCACAUUCUCCUUCCCAGCUGCCACUACUUGUCGUCAGUGGUAAAUUAAUCAAAACAGAGUCUUCUUCAUAAACAGAACAAAACUUUUACUUGAGAAAAUAAAGUUGUUCGUAAACAGCAUAGUUAAAGAGCAUACACAGAGUGCUCAUGACAGCUAUCUGACUCUUCACAGAGUCCUGGAGCCAUUCUGUCUGCAAACAACACAACACACACACACACACACUGGCUGAGGCUUAGACUGAGACACACACACAGAGGCCCACAGAGAAGUUGGCUACUUUUAUAGGGAGAAUGAGUCAUCACUCAAGAUGAGUCACGAGUUACAGUGACUUAGCAGUUUGCUGUUAGCAGUUAGCAGGUUCGAAUGAUUUUGUAGGCGUUGUAGGCCUUACUGCUUCUGCUCUCAAGAACCUUUGUCUCAUGACACUAUUCUCAUCACUGCUUAUGUUUGAAGUUCCUAGGUGGCCUUUGGCAAGUCACCAGUUCUCAGUCUCUCUUGUGGGUUCAGGCAUUGUGCUCUCUAGUCCCCAACCUGCAGACAAAUAAAGGACUGGUUUGGAUCGAAACAAACUUUAUUGAAUGCAGAUGAAAGAGGUUUGGCUUGGGCAUGGGGCAAUCAAAAUACUUCCAGCCCGCCCACCAGAAGCGACACUUAGGCCAAUCCAGGCGGGGGGUUCCUAAUACUUGGGGACGCGGGUGGCGCUGUGGUCUAAACCACCAAACCUCUUGGGCUUGCCGAUCCGAAAGUCGGCGGUUCAAAUGCCCAUGACGGGGUGAGUUCCCGUUGCUCUGUCCCAGGUCAUGCCAACCUAGCAGUUCGAAAGCACACCAGUGCAAGUAGAUAAAUAGGUACCGCUGUGGCGGGAAAGUAAGCAGUGUUUCCAUGCGCUCUGGUUUCCGUUAUGGUGUUCCGUUGUGCCAGAAGCAGUUUAGUCAUGCUGUCCACAUGAUCCGGAAAGCUGUCUGUGGACAAACGCCGGCUCCUUUGGCCUGAAAGUGAGAUGAGCGCCACAACCCCAUAGUCGUCUUUGACUGGGCUUAAUGAUCCAGGAGUCCUUUACCUUUUCCCUUUUCUUAAGAUUUACAUCACAUAGGGUGACCACUGCAGGGACCACUGUCUGGGCAGUGCCUUCAGCCCUGGCCCCGCCUGGGCACACGGACAUGACCACUCCCCCCCCGGUCCCUUUAACGGGAUACCCCAGCAUUUGGAGGGGCAGGCAGAGACUACAACCUCCCCUCCAUCCAAAACAAAAGAUUGCCCCAAUGCCCAACCCAGUUGUGACAAUUGCUAGGAGGUAGGUGUUGUAACAAAAUCUGCCCUUUUUCCCUUAUGGGGUAUCCAAGAGCCCAUAUAGAUUCCUUACAUGGGUUCCCUAUUGGUAGGAGAAAAUAACAGAGGCCAACCAGAGAAUAUUGAGAAGCAAAGCAGCUAGUAAGCCUGAUCUUUAUUGAACUGUUGCAACAGGGUGCUCCCCUCACAUGCAGGAGGACGGAGGAGGACCCAGAACCAAGGUGUGUCUGCCCUUAUAUAGACAUUUUAAAUUCCCUGCCCUGGAGCUCAAGACCACCCCUCCAUACAUCAUACAUACAUCACAAAAGGGGUGUAACCCAAGACGACCCCCCACCUACAAACAUCAUACCUACAUCACAGAAAAGGUGGUCUACAACAGAAAUUUAAAUGUUGUUGUUUUUCCUGUCUGCCAGGUUAUCUGAUAAUGCCUUAUCUGAUUGGCUUUCCUGGUAGUCUGUCACCCUUUGAAAUGGUGAUUACUAAACUCCUGUAACAAGGUUUUUUUUUACCUCCUCCCUCCUUGCAGAGAAACAUGGGAUUCAGGACUGUAUUCCUGUGCUGCUCGAGACAUGUUGUUUGCUUGGUACAUUUAUGAUACUGUAGCCACAGCAUAGUCCUUAACCAUCGGUUUGAACGGGGGGCGGGGGGAACGACCCAACAAGGGAAAAGCAGGUAGGGCCCCAGGUGAUGGCUGCUUAAAUGGCCAGGGAGCGGACCCAAGGGAAGCCUUCCUUCUCCAUCUGUUCUGUGCCCCGGCCCUUAUCCUAUCCUGCAUCCCCAAUUGCCAAUCCAGGAUACAGGCUAGGAUCCGUGAUAUGGGCUUACGUCCCUGCCCCCUAUCUGGAUGGGGCUCCGAUGCCAUGAUUCCCUCAUCAGGGCCUUGGAGGAGCCUCUGCCGUUCUGCAACACCGCUGCAUCUUAAAGGCUUAGCAGACUUCUUUUAUCUACAAAAUGGGAACAACAGUAAUCUUCCAUAAAAGGCUUGUGAAGAUGAAUGAAGUCAACGGUCUAAAAGCACAUAAUGGAUAAUGAGAUUGAUACUAACCUGAAGCAAAUAAGAAACAGCCAGGACACCAGAAGAAGAAGCUGAAAAAUCCCUGGAUUUUCAUAUUGUUUUACUACUUUUGAUGGUGUGAAAGGCACCUGAGAAAAAUUUACUCAAUUUGGAUAUCCUUCCUGGAGUUAUCUGGUGAAUGAAGCCAUAGCUAUGGAAGGUUCCCAUCAAUUCAUAUGAUUAUAUUGUUGGUUUUAUAUGCUUUUUUAAAAAGAUAUAAUUUCAGAAAGAGAAUAGUGGGGGGGUAUUUGGGUAGUGGUAAUGUACGAAUUCUGUAUAAUAUCGCAUGCUUUGCAUUCAUUAUAUAUUCUAACUAUGUAUAGUUUUAACUACUUCAAAGGCCUAAGGCUGCAAUCUCAGGCAAACUUUUCUGUAGGGUUGCCAUAUUUCAAAAAGUAAAAACCAGGACACCCCGAAAGUGUCCUUUUUUUUUUUAGGAAGACCCCAAAAUUGUUGAGCUUUUUUUAAAAAAUGAAAGUGUUUUUUCAGUUUACUUGCCAAAGAUCCCGGCCUUCCAUAAAUUCCCCCGGACAUCACUUGCGCAUUUGAAAUCCCAGUAGUGUCCAGGAAAUCCAGGACAUAUGGCAGCCCGCUUUUCUGGAAAUCAGGGUUGGACUAGAUGACCCUCAGGAUCCCUUCCAGCUCUACAUUUCUAUGAUUCUAACACUUCUUUAUUCUCCCAGGGCUAAAAUAUAUGAUUUUAAUGUUGAACCACUGUUAAGAGUUUAUGUAGUUUUUAGUUAUUCUAGUAAUUUUUAGCCUGCAAUAUGUUGUUUUGUGAUAACAAGAAGUGCAGUAGCCAAUACCAUUCAUAUUCGCUCAUGUAAUUUCCAUUCCUUUUCCUCAGAGGAACACGUGUCUUGCAGCAAUUUCCACAGCACUCCAAAGACUGGAAUUUGCAUUUGCUUCUCCAAACAAAAUCUUGGAACUGCCGUUCAAGGUUUUUCUAGUCCUUGAGGAGGAAAGAGAAGUUAAUUAUAAUUAUUCUACAUUGGUUAUGAUGUUUUAUUUAUGAUCUGUACUUUGUGUUUUUUAUAGCUUCUUAUAUGUUGCUCUGGACUUCCUUGGGAGAAAGUGAUCUAGAAACGUAACUAAUAAAUAAUAAGGGUU